AAUCUCCAGGAUUUACUGCCAGUUCUAAACUCCUGCCUCUCAUUCUGUCGCCCCCUACCGUCCCAUGUGUGUAAGGCAAAUUGGAUGCUCCACCUCUCCCUCAGUGCACAGAAGUGCUAAAACCCUAAUCCAAGGGUUUACAGCCUUACUCAAGAGACUUGGACAAGUGUGUGACACGGCUGUGAAAUAAGAAAUAAUAGGAGCAGAGUUGGAGAAAAUGUUGGACAUAGAAACCCUUGGAAAAUGGAAACAAAAAGUGAGCAGAAGUAGCUAGAUUUAUCAGAUAAA
rnacentral:lncRNA from 1 species